rnacentral:tRNA from 1 species
CGUAGCUCAGCUGGUUAGAGCAUCUGACUGUUAAUCAGAGGGCCGCUGGUUCGAGCCCAGCC